rnacentral:rRNA from 1 species
CCAGACUCCUACGGGAGGCAGCAGUGGGGAAUCUUCCGCAAUGGACGAAAGUCUGACGGAGCAACGCCGCGUGAGUGAUGACGGCCUUCGGGUUGUAAAGCUCUGUUAAUCGGGACGAAAGGCCUUCUUGCGAAUAGUGAGAAGGAUUGACGGUACCGGAAUAGAAAGCCACGGCUAACUACGUGCCAGCAGCCGCGGUAAUACGUAGGUGGCAAGCGUUGUCCGGAAUUAUUGGGCGUAAAGCGCGCGUAGGCGGAUAGGUCAGUCUGUCUUAAAAGUUCGGGGCUUAACCCCGUGAUGGGAUGGAAACUGCCAAUCUAGAGUAUCGGAGAGGAAAGUGGAAUUCCUAGUGUAGCGGUGAAAUGCGUAGAUAUUAGGAAGAACACCAGUGGCGAAGGCGACUUUCUGGACGAAAACUGACGCUGAGGCGCGAAAGCCAGGGGAGCGAACGGGAUUAGAUACCCCGGUAGUCCUGGCCGUAAACGAUGGGUACUAGGUGUAGGAGGUAUCGACCCCUUCUGUGCCGGAGUUAACGCAAUAAGUACCCCGCCUGGGGAGUACGACCGCAAGGUUGAAACUCAAAGGAAUUGACGGGGGCCCGCACAAG